AUGAACGCUAGCGGCAGGCUUAAUACAUGCAAGUUGAGGGGCAGCAUGAUAUACGCGAGUAUAUUGAUGGCGACCGGCGGACGGGUGAAGUAAUAGGUAGGAGACCUACCUCAUACAGGGGGAUAGCAUAGAGAAAUCUGUGGUAAUACCCCAUGAGGUUAUAUGAAUAGAGGCGUAUAAUCAAAGCAUAAGUGAUUAUGCGGUAUGAGAGGGGCCUACUGACCAUUAGCUAGUUGGUGAGGUAAGGGCUCACCAAGGCGAAGAUGGUUAGGGGUUUUGAGAGAGAGACCCCCCACAUUGGAACUGAGAGACGGUCCAGACUCCUACGGGAGGCAGCAGUAGGGAAUAUUGGGCAAUGGGCGAAAGCCUGACCCAGCCAUGCCGCGUGAAGGAAGACGGCCUUAUGGGUUGUAAACUUCUUUACUACGCGAAUAGAGGUUAGUACGAGAUACUAAUAGGAAGGUAGUGUAGUAAAAAGCACCGGCUAACUCCGUG
rnacentral:rRNA from 1 species